AUGAGUUAUCCAGAUUACACUGAAACUGAAUCAGGCCUCCAAUACAAGGACUUGCGGGUUGGAGAUGGCCCAUCCCCAAAGAAGGGAGAGACAGUAGUGAUUGAUUGGGAUGGGUACACAAUUGGAUACUACGGUCGCAUUUUUGAAGCUCGAAACAAGACCAAAGGUGGUUCUUUCGAGGGUGGUGAUAAAGAAUUCUUCAAGUUUAAGGUUGGAUCAGGACAGGUAAUACCAGCCUUUGAGGAGGCUAUGACAGGCAUGCGUCCCGGUGGAGUUAGAAGGAUAAUACUACCACCGGAUAUUGGAUACCCAGAUAAUGACUUGAACAAGUUAGGCCCAAAACCGACAACAUUUUCGGGACAAAGAGCUCUAGAUUUCGUUCUAAGGAAUCAGGGAUUAAUAGACAAAACUCUCCUGUUUGACAUUGAGCUUAUCAGGAUAAUUCCGAGUCAAUAG
rnacentral:rRNA from 1 species